rnacentral:rRNA from 1 species
UGGGGAAUUUUGGACAAUGGGCGAAAGCCUGAUCCAGCCAUGCCGCGUGCAGGAUGAAGGCCUUCGGGUUGUAAACUGCUUUUUGUACGGAACGAAAAGCCUCUUUCUAAUAAAGAGGGGUCAUGACGGUACCGUAAGAAUAAGCACCGGCUAACUACGUGCCAGCAGCCGCGGUAAUACGUAGGGUGCAAGCGUUAAUCGGAAUUACUGGGCGUAAAGCGUGCGCAGGCGGUUUUGUAAGACAGAGGUGAAAUCCCCGGGCUCAACCUGGGAACUGCCUUUGUGACUGCAAGGCUGGAGUGCGGCAGAGGGGGAUGGAAUUCCGCGUGUAGCAGUGAAAUGCGUAGAUAUGCGGAGGAACACCGAUGGCGAAGGCAAUCCCCUGGGCCUGCACUGACGCUCAUGCACGAAAGCGUGGGGAGCAAACAGGAUUAGAUACCCUGGUAGUCCACGCCCUAAACGAUGUCAACUGGUUGUUGGGGUCUUCACUGACUCAGUAACGAAGCUAACGCGUGAAGUUGACCGCCUGGGGAGUACGGCCGCAAGGUUGAAACUUAAAGGAAUUGACGGGGUCAUAGCUGUUUCCU